GACGAACGCUGGCGGCGUGCCUAAUACAUGCAAGUCGAGCGAACAGACGGAGGUGCUUGCACCUCCUGACGUUAGCGGCGGACGGGUGAGUAACACGUGGGUAACCUACCUAUAAGGCUGGGAUAACUUCGGGAAACCGGAGCUAAUACCGGAUAAUAUUUAGCUUCGCAUGAAGCAAUAGUGAAAGACGGUUUUGCUGUCACUUAUAGAUGGACCCGCGGUGUAUUAGCUAGUUGGUGAGGUAACGGCUCACCAAGGCAACGAUACAUAGCCGACCUGAGAGGGUGAUCGGCCACACUGGGACUGAGACACGGCCCAGACUCCUACGGGAGGCAGCAGUAGGGAAUCUUCCGCAAUGGACGAAAGUCUGACGGAGCAACGCCGCGUGAGUGAAGAAGGUUUUCGGAUCGUAAAACUCUGUUGUAAGGGAAGAACAAGUACGUUAGUAACUGAACGUACCUUGACGGUACCUUACCAGAAAGCCACGGCUAACUACGUGCCAGCCGCCGCCGUAACAC
rnacentral:rRNA from 1 species